rnacentral:rRNA from 1 species
AUGCUGGAAACUUGGUGCAAAUUUUACAUGAACUUUAUGCAAAAUUUACACUUUGUAGUGGCUGGUGGUUUAGUGACACGAGAUCCCUUCCUAUAUGGAAGAAGAGAUCCAAAUGUUCCAAGGGAGCAUCGAUCGAUCACGGGCUGCAUAAUGUACAUGCUCCUAGGCUUGAUGCAGCAUAUGGGCGCACAGUGGAGUCGUGCACUUGCGCUGUGGAGUCAUAGAAGUUACCAAACGCCGACAAGUGCAGGGAGCCACCACCGCACCGGCACUGGGUCCUUACUCCGUAACCACGUCGCCGUCACGGCACGCCCACACACCCCCAACCCCGAUCAACUGCCCCCGGCCGAGCACCACGCACAACUGCUUAUAAACCCUUCGUCUUCAUCGUCCCCGCAUCACCACCGCCCCUCGCCUCUCGCCCCUUCCGUCCCCUUGCCGCCGGAGCGAGCAAUGGACCUCGACGACGACAUGGUGCCGUACUCCCCCUCCGGCGACUCCUCGCCGUCGUCCUCCGACCUCGACACCGAGUCGACGGGGUCUUUCUUCCCUGACCGGAGCACGACGCUGGGGACGCUGAUGGGCGUGUCGACGUUCGGCGGCGCCGGUGUCCAGCGGCGGCUGACUCGGGCGGCGCCGGGGCAGGAGAGCGAGAGGCCGACGCGUGCGGCAACGGAGGAGCGAGACGGGCGGCGCGCGGGCGGGUGGCGACGGAGGAGGCGGCGGCGGGGCGGGAGCUGGUGGCGGCUGUGCCGCGACGACGCCAGCGGGCCGCCGACGAGGCUGGGCGAGUUCCUGGACAUGGAGCGGCAGCACGCCGGCGCCGACUUCCUGUGCGGCGGCGGCGGCCCGCAGGAGCCGGAGGCGCCAUCGGUGGCGGCGACGCCGCUGUUCGAGGACGGGAGGGUGCGCCCGCCGCAGCCGCGCGCCGCGCCGCCGGAGGAGCGCGGGAGGUGGCGGCUGCAGCGGGCCGCGGAGGGCUCGUCCACGUCCUCGUCGCUGGCCAGGCUCCCGGUGCUGCUCACCGGCAUCUGCAGCGGCGGCGCGGGGUAG